rnacentral:misc_RNA from 1 species
UUGGAAUUCCUGGGCGCCACGGACAGGGAGCUGGGCGACCAUGGAAGUCGAAAAGGGAGCUGCACGGCUGGAAAAACAGGGGCGCUAGGGGGAUCUCGCGCAGCGUCCAUUGCCGAGGGUGGAGCUCGCGCCCAUGGGAUGGAAGAUGGUAGGGAGGGCGCUGGAGAACAGGGAAGGGCGCCAUGGCUGUUGGGGGCGCCUGCUCCAUGGAAGUGGAGGUCGGCCAUGGCUGCUGGCGGCCGAGCGAGCAGAGCGAGAGGAAAAAAAAGAGCAGCGGCGUCCAUGCUUGCUGCCGUGAAGCAGGGAGGAAGAAGACCUGCUCACCGGCCUAGGGGAGAAGGGCAUCGCCGAGCAGGACCAGGGGGACGACGACCGGAUGUGGGGAAGAGGGACCUUGCUGCUGCGCCAUGGAGCAAGGAGGAGAGAGUUGUGCGUGUGGGAGAGGAGGAAGAAGAGAGUGGCGGCUGGAAAAAGUGGAGGGGUGGGAAUGCAAAAUGA